rnacentral:lncRNA from 1 species
UCUCCCCGGCGUCCGCGCCGGUGCCGGGACGUGAGCGGUCACAGGCUUGACAAGUUAGCGCUUCUUAGGCAGGUGACGAGGGCUCGGGGCGCGUGUGCGCGCGUCCCAGAACCCGGGACCCACUCGGUUCGGGGGACUUCAGAGCGAGGUUAGGGAAGUUCUUGAGGACUGACAACCCCGCGCUCUAAGGCCUUGACUUUUAAAUGACUUAAACGCCGAGAUACGUGUUCCCUAAUCGCCCAACGACUUAAAAAGUUAACGUUGCCACUGCGCGUUGAUAACACCGACCCUCAUAUUUGUGUAUUUUAAAAUGAGAUGGUCGAGAUGGAAGAUGAGUUAGGAGCCAUCUCAUUUAUGCAGCGCUUUCAUUUUCCCAAAUGUUUUCCAUGUCCUCGUUACAUGUGUUCAGUGUGACCAGAGCAACAUGAAAAAGCACCACUCCAGCCAGUAGCUCGGAGGAAACCAGUCGUGGGAGCGCAGCCCUUUCCUGGUGUGCUCCGUGCGUGCUCCGGCGCCCCACCACCGACCGGAGUUCAAAUCUAAACUGCCGCCUGGAAGUGAAGAGGACUCAUGCCUUAAGCACGAUUACUUUGAGUCAUUUCCUUUUCUUUUCUUCCAUUUUCUCAGAUGCUCAGCAGCCUUCAGUUUUGGGCCAGUGGUUGGUAAACUAACUCAAACGCUAAAUAAAACUACCUGUGAGACACGCGAGCACAGAAGCGCAGCGAACAGCAGAACAGGCCCGCACGUGCCGCCAGGACGGGCCGAGCGGGGGCGCGUCUGCCGCGCCUCCCCCUGUCCCUGGGCAAAGGAGAAAGGUGAGAUGCACAGAGGCAGGAGGUGGCGUGGACGUUCCGCAGGAUUGUGUGUAUACUUUGCCAACUGUCUUUAUGUGAUUCGUUACUGUUGUUUUUAGGAAUUGUUAUUUAGGGUAAAACUUAUUGUUUAGGGGAGAAAAAGACUCAAAUGAGUUACCCCAGCGAUUGGUCAGCAUUUUGCGCUUGUCUGUUGGUUACAGUAUAGCUUUUGAAGGAGCCGAUUGAUUUGAUGAGAUUUGCUUUGCCAGUUAAAAAAUUCAAGAUAUCUCAAAUUAGUAUUGUUCUUGAGUCUGUCUUCCAGAAAGCAAAGGGCCAAAGGUGAAUUUUUCAGAGCGCCUUAAUGUCUGUAAUACUUAAUACUUUCAACAAGGUAUACAAGGAUGGAAACUGCUAAGUGGUGGUUGAGCUGAGUGCCAGCCUGCGGCCCAACAGCCCUAGUGAUGAAACUCCCCUGUUGGGUGUGGAGAGAAGAAUGUUUUGUCUCCCUGGAAGGAGUUGGGAGCUCAAUUUUUAAGUUAACUGGGUUGUCACAGAAAGAAUCAGUGGUAUGAAAUACGUUUGUUAUGCUGUCAAGGGUAUGUUUCUAUCAGCAGUGUUAAACACUUUAAGUAAUCUUUCGCUUGUGUUUGCCGUUGUGUUACGGAGGCUGACAGGUCAGGAAGGGUGUUUCUGACUCCAGCUCCCCCCCUCAGCCAGCUCUCCACGCUCUGCCUGUCUUUCUAAAAUGUGCGUGUGCUCCUGUGGGAGCCCACUUCUCAGGGAUCUCAGGGCCCUUUCGGGUUCAAGACCAGUCUCUCGCUGCUCUUUCUGCCUCUCACUGCACUUUUUUUUUUUUUGCUGUGCUGUGCAGCCUGUGGGAUCUCAGUUCCCCAAGGAGGAAUUGAGCCGGGGUCCCUGGCAGUGCGAG